UGGGGACGGAACCCAGGGCCUUGCGCUUCCUAGGGCAAAUUUGAUAUGCACCCAGGUUAACCUUGGCUGAAAGUCAAAGUCCCAUCGUCAGGUGAUCGAGACUCCCACACAUGAGACGCUUAGGGCUAACUGAGAAAUUCUCAUCUGUGAAGAACUAAAGGCCAGAGCUCAGUGUCUCAGGGACAUCAUCCUGGGGAGAGCGACAUGGAGCCUGACUGAGGAGUCAGAUAUCAGAGAAUCCAGCAGGAAGCUGCUCUCCUGCCUUGGCCCCUUGGCCCUGAAAAUGUGUGCCUGCUUCAAGUCCAUCUCCUCUCAGCUGCUGAGUCGUUGUCUGUCUGCAGUGGAGAUGAAGCGACCACAGAUGCCCACAGAUGAGGGCCUCAGCAGCUUUUCAGUCCGACAGCAGCUUUUCAGUCCGACAGCCUCUGACCUCGCUUAUCCCUAGCCGCAGCUUCCAAACCAGCGCCAUUUCAAGGUAUUGGAGCUGCCAAAGUCAUUGGAGCUGAGGCUGCUACAGUUGGGGUGGCUGGCUCUGGGGCAAGGAUUGGGACUGUUUUGGGGAGUCUCCUAUUCGAUUCUGGGCUUUGCCCACUCAGAGGCCACGGGGCUCUCUCGCCUAAUGGUGGCCUUCUCAUCCUCCUCGUCAUGUGGAGCAGCUGUUUCCACUUUCACCUCCUAUAGUUCUUUCGUGUCUCGUCUGCCCCCCCUUAUGUUCCUUUUCCUGUGCCUCCCCAAGAAGUCUGGGGAAAGUGCUUGGCUCAGGGUUUGACAGAGAGAAGACAAAUAAAUA
rnacentral:sRNA from 1 species